AGAGUUUGAUCCUGGCUCAGGAUGAACGCUAGCGGCAGGCCUAACACAUGCAAGUCGAGGGGCAUCGGGAUUGAAGCUUGCUUCAAUUGCCGGCGACCGGCGCACGGGUGCGUAACGCGUAUGUAACCUACCUAUAACAGGGGCAUAACACUGAGAAAUUGGUACUAAUUCCCCAUAAUAUUCGGAGAGGCAUCUCUCCGGGUUGAAAACUCCGGUGGUUAUAGAUGGACAUGCGUUGUAUUAGCUAGUUGGUGAGGUAACGGCUCACCAAGGCAACGAUACAUAGGGGGACUGAGAGGUUAACCCCCCACACUGGUACUGAGACACGGACCAGACUCCUACGGGAGGCAGCAGUGAGGAAUAUUGGUCAAUGGACGCAAGUCUGAACCAGCCAUGCCGCGUGCAGGAAGACGGCUCUAUGAGUUGUAAACUGCUUUUGUACGAGGGUAAACGCAGAUACGUGUAUCUGUCUGAAAGUAUCGUACGAAUAAGGAUCGGCUAACUCCGUGCCAGCAGCCGCGGUAAUACGGAGGAUUCAAGCGUUAUCCGGAUUUAUUGGGUUUAAAGGGUGCGUAGGCGGUUUGAUAAGUUAGAGGUGAAAUUUCGGGGCUCAACCCUGAACGUGCCUCUAAUACUGUUGAGCUAGAGAGUAGUUGCGGUAGGCGGAAUGUAUGGUGUAGCGGUGAAAUGCUUAGAGAUCAUACAGAACACCGAUUGCGAAGGCAGCUUACCAAACUAUAUCUGACGUUGAGGCACGAAAGCGUGGGGAGCAAACAGGAUUAGAUACCCUGGUAGUCCACGCAGUAAACGAUGAUAACUCGUUGUCGGCGAUACACAGUCGGUGACUAAGCGAAAGCGAUAAGUUAUCCACCUGGGGAGUACGUUCGCAAGAAUGAAACUCAAAGGAAUUGACGGGGGCCCGCACAAGCGGAGGAACAUGUG
rnacentral:rRNA from 1 species